GAUGAACGCUGGCGGCGUGCCUAAUACAUGCAAGUCGAGCGAACAGACGAGGGGCUUGCUCCUCUGACGUUAGCGGCGGACGGGUGAGUAACACGUGGAUAACCUACCUAUAAGACUGGGAUAACUUCGGGAAACCGGAGCUAAUACCGGAUAAUAUAUUGAACCACAUGGUUCAAUAGUGAAAGACGGUUUUGCUGUCACUUAUAGAUGGAUCCGCGCCGCAUUAGCUAGUUGGUAAGGUAACGGCUUACCAAGGCAACGAUGCGUAGCCGACCUGAGAGGGUGAUCGGCCACACGGGAACUGAGACACGGUCCAGACUCCUACGGGAGGCAGCAGUAGGGAAUCUUCCGCAAUGGGCGAAAGCCUGACGGAGCAACGCCGCGUGAGUGAUGAAGGUCUUCGGAUCGUAAAACUCUGUUAUUAGGGAAGAACAAAUGUGUAAGUAACUAUGCACGUCUUGACGGUACCUAAUCAGAAAGCCACGGCUAACUACGUG
rnacentral:rRNA from 1 species